rnacentral:rRNA from 1 species
CCUACGGGAGGCAGCAGUGGGGGAUAUUGCACAAUGGGGGGAACCCUGAUGCAGCGACGCCGCGUGGGUGAAGAAGCGCCUCGGCGCGUAAAGCCCUGUCAGCAGGGAAGAAAAUGACGGUACCUGAAGAAGAAGCCCCGGCUAACUACGUGCCAGCAGCCGCGGGAAUACGUAGGGGGCAAGCGUUAUCCGGAUUUACUGGGUGUAAAGGGGGCGCAGACGGCGAUGCAAGCCAGGAGGGAAAGCCCGGGGCCCAACCCCGGGACUGCGCUUGGAACUGCGUGGCUGGAGUGCAGGAGGGGCAGGCGGAAUGCCUGGUGUAGCGGUGAAAUGCGUAGAUAUCAGGAGGAACACCAGUGGCGAAGGCGGCCUGCUGGACUGCAACUGACGUUGAGGCCCGAAAGCGUGGGGAGCAAACAGGAUUAGAUACCCUUGUAGUC